AGUAUGGAGCUGAUGGUAUUCUCUCCUGUAGCACCAGAAAUAUAGGUUGAGUAUGCGACAAGAGCUGCGUUGAUUCUUUAAGAGAAAAUGGAAAAAAUUAUCCACAUGUAUCAGGUAUUCCAGCACUAACUACAGCCUAAGCAGGGAUGGUCUUCUAUUUUCUUACUACUAAUUUUGUUUAAUAGAGUUUGUUAUUGAGAGAUAAUAGUGGCUUUUUUGUUUGCUUUUUUUUUUAGUUUUGUCUAAAUUACAGUCUCACUACAUCAUUAAGGCUGAGCCCCAUUGCCAUAAGAUUAUUGACUCUGUGUGUGUGUGUUAACAAGCAGAAAAUGCUAAUCAAUUACAUCAAGUAGCUUCAUGGCUUAUUGGUUGCUUUUCUGAGAGGAAAUGACUUUCAGAAGGAUGAUUUUGACCAGCUGGUAAUAUAGCAGAGCAUUUUAAGAGAGCUUUUAUAUUGAUUGUACUUUUAAUAAAUGGUAUUAGAUGCUUCAUGUAAUGGAAGGCAACAUUGAAUUUAUAAGGUAGGUGUUUUAAUGGUUUUAUGUAUUGCCACCAAAGUUUGGUUUUGUAUUUUUUUAUAUCUAUGAGGUGACGUCUUUAUCAGCUGCCAAGUACAUCAGUGCUAUUCUUUGCUGAACUGUCCCAUUUGAUCCUUGAUAGGUAUGCAAAAUGGAAUAGAAAAAGAAACAGCUCUGUUCUGAAUUGCUGAUAAACUUUCCAAACUUUACAGAUGAAAAAGCACUUGAAAUUCACCUGUAAACUCACUGACAGUGGUCCAAGAAGGCUGGCUAAUAAAAAUGCCACCAUAAUUGCACAAGGCUGCAUCAGAGAGCAAGGGUGAGGAGGGGCAGAAAUGUCUACCGGCAUUGCGAGUCCUAGAAGCUGUGCUGUGUUUUGUCUCAUAUUCUGAAGCUUGUAGCUGACCUUACUUUAAGGUGACCUUACUUACAUUUGAAACUAAAAAUCUGCUGUGAGCUACAGCCCCCUAGGGAACAAAAGAUA